UACGUAGGGUGCAAGCGUUGUCCGGAAUUAUUGGGCGUAAAGAGCGUGUAGGCGGCCCGAUUAGUCCGCUGUGAAAGUCAAAGGCUCAACCUUUGAAAGCCGGUGGAUACUGUGGGGCUAGAGUACGGAAGAGGCGAGUGGAAUUCCUGGUGUAGCGGUGGAAUGCGCAGAUAUCAGGAGGAACACCAAUAGCGAAGGCAGCUCGCUGGGACGUUACUGACACUGAGGCGCGAAAGCGUGGGGAGCGAACAGG
rnacentral:rRNA from 1 species